UAAUUGAAGAGUUUGAUCAUGGCUCAGAUUGAACGCUGGCGGCAGGCCUAACACAUGCAAGUCGAACGGUAGCAGGAUGUGCUUGCACAUCGCUGACGAGUGGCGGACGGGUGAGUAAUGCUUGGGAACUUGCCUUUGCGAGGGGGAUAACAGUUGGAAACGACUGCUAAUACCGCAUAAUGUUUUCGAACCAAACGGGGCUUUUAGCUCCGGCGCAAAGAGAGGCCCAAGUGAGAUUAGCUAGUUGGUGAGGUAAAGGCUCACCAAGGCGACGAUCUCUAGCUGUUCUGAGAGGAAGAUCAGCCACACUGGGACUGAGACACGGCCCAGACUCCUACGGGAGGCAGCAGUGGGGAAUAUUGCACAAUGGGGGAAACCCUGAUGCAGCCAUGCCGCGUGUGUGAAGAAGGCCUUCGGGUUGUAAAGCACUUUCAGUUGUGAGGAAAGGUUGGUAGUUAAUACCUGCCAGCUGUGACGUUAACAACAGAAGAAGCACCGGCUAACUCCGUGCCAGCAGCCGCGGUAAUACGGAGGGUGCGAGCGUUAAUCGGAAUUACUGGGCGUAAAGCGCACGCAGGCGGUUUGUUAAGCUAGAUGUGAAAGCCCCGGGCUCAACCUGGGAUGGUCAUUUAGAACUGGCAGACUAGAGUCUUGGAGAGGGGAGUGGAAUUCCAGGUGUAGCGGUGAAAUGCGUAGAUAUCUGGAGGAACAUCAGUGGCGAAGGCGACUCCCUGGCCAAAGACUGACGCUCAUGUGCGAAAGUGUGGGUAGCGAACAGGAUUAGAUACCCUGGUAGUCCACACCGUAAACGCUGUCUACUAGCUGUGCGUGAAUUUAAUU
rnacentral:ncRNA from 1 species